rnacentral:tRNA from 1 species
ACACCGUUGGUGUAGGGGUAACAUAUUACCUUCCCAUUCCACAAGGAUAGGAUUUCAGGUAAUGCCGUGGGUUCGAUUCCCGCACGGUGUA